GCGUAAUGAAAGUAAGACAGGGGCUUGUCUCUUGUUGAGAUAGGGAAGGGAAACCCUACGGGAGUAAGUACCGGCACCAUCGACCUAUCAGGAUUUUAUUGAAAGAUUUGAGUAAGAGUACAUCUGUUGGGACCCGAAAGAGUGUGAACUAUGGGUGGCUAGGAUGAAGCCAGAGGAAACUCUGGUGGAGGUCCGAAGCAAUACUGACGUGCAAAUCGUUUGUCAAAGUUGCCUAUAGGGGCGAAAGACUAAUCGAACAUUCUAGUAGCUGGUUCCCUCCGAAGUUUCCCUCAGGAUAGCUGGAACUUAAUAUGUAAACAGUUUUAUCAGGUAAAGCGAAUGAUUAGAGGCCUUGGAGGUGAAACACCUUCAACCUAUUCUCAAACUUUAAAUAGGUAAGAACUAGAAGUUACUUGAUUUUCUUCUGAACUUCUAGGACAGAAUGGAAAGUUCUUAGUGGGC
rnacentral:rRNA from 1 species